UUUUUAAGUCUGAUGUGAAAGCCCACGGCUCAACCGUGGAGGGUCAUUGGAAACUGGAAAACUUGAGUGCAGAAGAGGAAAGUGGAAUUCCAUGUGUAGCGGUGAAAUGCGCAGAGAUAUGGAGGAACACCAGUGGCGAAGGCGACUUUCUGGUCUGUAACUGACGCUGAUGUGCGAAAGCGUGGGGAUCAAACAGGAUUAGAUACCCUGGUAGUCCACGCCGUAAACGAUGAGUGCUAAGUGUUAGGGGGUUUCCGCCCCUUAGUGCUGCAGCUAACGCAUUAAGCACUCCGCCUGGGGAGUACGACCGCAAGGUUGAAACUCAAAGGAAUUGACGGGGA
rnacentral:rRNA from 1 species